rnacentral:rRNA from 1 species
GUGGUUCUGUAUGGAAGGGCCAUCGCUCAACGGAUAAAAGGUACUCCGGGGAUAACAGGCUGAUACCGCCCAAGAGUUCAUAUCGACGGCGGUGUUUGGCACCUCGAUGUCGGCUCAUCACAUCCUGGGGCUGAAGCCGGUCCCAAGGGUAUGGCUGUUCGCCAUUUAAAGUGGUACGCGAGCUGGGUUUAGAACGUCGUGAGACAGUUCGGUCCCUAUCUGCCGUGGACGUUUGAGAUUUGAGAGGGGCUGCUCCUAGUACGAGAGGACCGGAGUGGACGAACCUCUGGUGUUCCGGUUGUCACGCCAGUGGCAUUGCCGGGUAGCUAUGUUCGGAAGAGAUAACCGCUGAAAGCAUCUAAGCGGGAAACUUGCCUCAAGAUGAGAUCUCACUGGAGCCUUGAGUUCCCUGAAGGGCCGUCGAAGACUACGACGUUGAUAGGUUGGGUGUGUAAGCGCUGUGAGGCGUUGAGCUAACCAAUACUAAUUGCCCGUGAGGCUUGACCAU